rnacentral:rRNA from 1 species
AUCAACUUUCGAUGGUAGGAUAGAGGCCUACCAUGGUUUCAACGGGUAACGGGGAAUAAGGGUUCGAUUCCGGAGAGGGAGCCUGAGAAACGGCUACCACAUCCAAGGAUGGCAGCAGGCGCGCAAAUUACCCAAUCCCGACACGGGGAGGUAGUGACAAUAAAUAACAAUACGGGGUUCUUUCGGAUUUCGUAAUUGGAAUGAGUACAAUUUAAAUCUCUUAACGAGGAACAAUUGGAGGGCAAGUCUGGUGCCAGCAGCCGCGGUAAUUCCAGCUCCAAUAGCGUAUAUUAAAGUUGCUGCAGUUAAAAAGCUCGUAGUUGAAUUUCGGGACCAAUAUGUCGGUCGUGCCUCGGUACGUACUGGCAUCGUUGGUUUCUCCCUUCUGACGAACCAUGAUGUCAUUUAUUUGGUGUCGUGGGGAAUCAGGACUGUUACUUUGAAAAAAUUAGAGUGUUUAAAGCAGGCUCACGCUUGAAUACAUUAGCAUGGAAUAAUGAAAUAGGACGUUUGAUUCUAUUUUGUUGGUUUCUAGGAUCGACGUAAUGAUUAAUAGGGAUAGUUGGGGGCAUUAGUAUUCAAUUGUCAGAGGUGAAAUUCUUGGAUUUAUUGAAGACUAACUACUGCGAAAGCAUUUGCCAAGGAUGUUUUCAUUAAUCAAGAACGAAAGUUAGGGGAUCGAAGACGAUCAGAUACCGUCGUAGUCUUAACCAUAAACUAUGCCGACUAGGGAUCGGAUGAUGUUAAUUUUUCAAUGACUCAUUCGGCGCCUUACGGGAAACCAAAGUGUUUGGGUUC